CUUCUUCUAUCUGUUGCGGGCAAAUGAAAUGUAUAUGUGCAUCAAUAGCGCCGGCUGUCAGAAUUUGCCCUUCUCCCGCAAUCACUUCCGUGCCGGGACCUAUUUGAAAAUCCACUCCUGGUUGAAUAUCCGGGUUGCCAGCUUUACCGAUGGCCAUAAUGCGUCCCGCUUUCAUUGCAACAUCGGCUUUGACAAUCCCCCAGUGAUCCAAAAUCAGCGCGUUCGUAAUUACAGUAUCCGGAGUAUCUUCGCUCGAUGCCUGACUCUGUCCCAUUCCAUCGCGAAU
rnacentral:sRNA from 1 species